CUUUGAACUCCUGGGCUCAAGCGAUCCUCCGGCCUCAGCCUCCUAAGUGGCUGGGACUACAGAUUAUUCCACAAGGUGGGCCUCAUCCAAUCAGUUGAAGACCUUAAGAAAAAAGACUGACCUCUCCCGAGAAGAAGGAAUACUGACAGCAGACUCCCUUUGAACUCAAACUGCAACAUCAACUCUUCUCUGGGUCUACAGCCUGCUGGCCUACCCUGCAAACUUUGAACUUGCCAGUCUCCUCAAUCAUCUUUGGAAACAGCCUGAGAUCAGCCUGAGAUCAGACAGAGGAGGCCAACUCACAAGCUGAUUAUCAGAGGACUGCUGGAUUCUCAUAUAUCUGGUACUGCCUUCAAUAUGUUGCUCUAUGGCGUUUUGAUGGAAGGACAUGAAGGAAACCUAGCCUCACACAGAUACAUAGUUGGAAAUGGGUGGAGUAUUUUCAUCAUCUUUUGAUAACUGUGGAUAUUCUCUGAUUCUACACCAGAAAUCAACAAGUGGUAGUUUUUAAAAUGUAGAGUCUGA